UGGCAGCGGUGGGAUCCGAAUCCACGCCUCGAAAGACUGGUGCCUAAAACCAGCGCCUUAGACCACUCGGCUACGCUACU
rnacentral:tRNA from 13 species